GGGUUGUGAGGUUAAGCGACUAAGCGUACACGGUGGAUGCCCUGGCAGUCAGAGGCGAUGAAGGGCGUGCUAAUCUGCGAUAAGCGCCGGUAAGGUGAUAUGAACCGUUAUAACCGGCGAUACCCGAAUGGGGAAACCCAGUGUGACUCGUCACACUAUCAUUAACUGAAUCCAUAGGUUAAUGAGGCGAACCGGGGGAACUGAAACAUCUAAGUACCCCGAGGAAAAGAAAUCAACCGAGAUUCCCCCAGUAGCGGCGAGCGAACGGGGAGGAGCCCAGAGCCUGAAUCAGCAUGUGUGUUAGUGGAAGCGUCUGGAAAGGCGCGCGAUACAGGGUGACAGCCCCGUACACAAAAGCGCAUGUGCUGUGAGCUCGAUGAGUAGGGCGGGACACGUGGUAUCCUGUCUGAAUAUGGGGGGACCAUCCUCCAAGGCUAAAUACUCCUGACUGACCGAUAGUGAACCAGUACCGUGAGGGAAAGGCGAAAAGAACCCCGGCGAGGGGAGUGAAAAAGAACCUGAAACCGUGUACGUACAAGCAGUGGGAGCACCCUUCGGGGUGUGACUGCGUACCUUUUGUAUAAUGGGUCAGCGACUUAUAUUCUGUAGCAAGGUUAACCGAAUAGGGGAGCCGGAGGGAAACCGAGUCUUAAUUGGGCGUUAAGUUGCAGGGUAUAGACCCGAAACCCGGUGAUCUAGCCAUGGGCAGGUUGAAGGUUGGGUAACACUAACUGGAGGACCGAACCGACUAAUGUUGAAAAAUUAGCGGAUGACCUGUGGCUGGGGGUGAAAGGCCAAUCAAACCGGGAGAUAGCUGGUUCUCCCCGAAAGCUAUUUAGGUAGCGCCUCGUGAAUUCAUCUCCGGGGGUAGAGCACUGUUUCGGCUAGGGGGCCAUCCCGGCUUACCAACCCGAUGCAAACUGCGAAUACCGGAGAAUGUUAUCACGGGAGACACACGGCGGGUGCUAACGUCCGUCGUGAAGAGGGAAACAACCCAGACCGCCAGCUAAGGUCCCAAAGUCAUGGUUAAGUGGGAAACGAUGUGGGAAGGCCCAGACAGCCAGGAUGUUGGCUUAGAAGCAGCCAUCAUUUAAAGAAAGCGUAAUAGCUCACUGGUCGAGUCGGCCUGCGCGGAAGAUGUAACGGGGCUAAACCAUGCACCGAAGCUGCGGCAGCGACGCUUAUGCGUUGUUGGGUAGGGGAGCGUUCUGUAAGCCUGUGAAGGUGGCCUGUGAGGGUUGCUGGAGGUAUCAGAAGUGCGAAUGCUGACAUAAGUAACGAUAAAGCGGGUGAAAAGCCCGCUCGCCGGAAGACCAAGGGUUCCUGUCCAACGUUAAUCGGGGCAGGGUGAGUCGACCCCUAAGGCGAGGCCGAAAGGCGUAGUCGAUGGGAAACGGGUUAAUAUUCCCGUACUUGGUGUUACUGCGAAGGGGGGACGGAGAAGGCUAUGUUGGCCGGGCGACGGUUGUCCCGGUUUAAGCGUGUAGGUGUGUGUUCCAGGUAAAUCCGGUUCACUUUAACACUGAGGCGUGACGACGAGGCACUACGGUGCUGAAGCAACAAAUGCCCUGCUUCCAGGAAAAGCCUCUAAGCAUCAGGUAACAUCAAAUCGUACCCCAAACCGACACAGGUGGUCAGGUAGAGAAUACCAAGGCGCUUGAGAGAACUCGGGUGAAGGAACUAGGCAAAAUGGUGCCGUAACUUCGGGAGAAGGCACGCUGACACGUAGGUGAAGUGAUUUACUCAUGGAGCUGAAGUCAGUCGAAGAUACCAGCUGGCUGCAACUGUUUAUUAAAAACACAGCACUGUGCAAACACGAAAGUGGACGUAUACGGUGUGACGCCUGCCCGGUGCCGGAAGGUUAAUUGAUGGGGUCAGCGCAAGCGAAGCUCCUGAUCGAAGCCCCGGUAAACGGCGGCCGUAACUAUAACGGUCCUAAGGUAGCGAAAUUCCUUGUCGGGUAAGUUCCGACCUGCACGAAUGGCGUAAUGAUGGCCAGGCUGUCUCCACCCGAGACUCAGUGAAAUUGAACUCGCUGUGAAGAUGCAGUGUACCCGCGGCAAGACGGAAAGACCCCGUGAACCUUUACUAUAGCUUGACACUGAACAUUGAGCCUUGAUGUGUAGGAUAGGUGGGAGGCUUUGAAGCGUGGACGCCAGUCUGCGUGGAGCCGACCUUGAAAUACCACCCUUUAAUGUUUGAUGUUCUAACGUGGACCCGUAAUCCGGGUUGCGGACAGUGUCUGGUGGGUAGUUUGACUGGGGCGGUCUCCUCCUAAAGAGUAACGGAGGAGCACGAAGGUUGGCUAAUCCUGGUCGGACAUCAGGAGGUUAGUGCAAUGGCAUAAGCCAGCUUGACUGCGAGCGUGACGGCGCGAGCAGGUGCGAAAGCAGGUCAUAGUGAUCCGGUGGUUCUGAAUGGAAGGGCCAUCGCUCAACGGAUAAAAGGUACUCCGGGGAUAACAGGCUGAUACCGCCCAAGAGUUCAUAUCGACGGCGGUGUUUGGCACCUCGAUGUCGGCUCAUCACAUCCUGGGGCUGAAGUAGGUCCCAAGGGUAUGGCUGUUCGCCAUUUAAAGUGGUACGCGAGCUGGGUUUAGAACGUCGUGAGACAGUUCGGUCCCUAUCUGCCGUGGGCGCUGGAGAACUGAGGGGGGCUGCUCCUAGUACGAGAGGACCGGAGUGGACGCAUCACUGGUGUUCGGGUUGUCAUGCCAAUGGCACUGCCCGGUAGCUAAAUGCGGAAGAGAUAAGUGCUGAAAGCAUCUAAGCACGAAACUUGCCCCGAGAUGAGUUCUCCCUGAGACUUAGAGUCUCCUGAAGGAACGUUGAAGACGACGACGUUGAUAGGCCGGGUGUGUAAGCGCAGCGAUGCGUUGAGCUAACCGGUACUAAUGAACCGUGAGGCUUAACCUUACAACGCCGAAG
rnacentral:rRNA from 1 species